GAUGAACGCUGGCGGCGUGCCUAAUACAUGCAAGUCGAGCGAACAGACGAGGAGCUUGCUCCUCUGACGUUAGCGGCGGACGGGUGAGUAACACGUGGAUAACCUACCUAUAAGACUGGGAUAACUUCGGGAAACCGGAGCUAAUACCGGAUAAUAUAUUGAACCGCAUGGUUCAAUAGUGAAAGACGGUUUUGCUGUCACUUAUAGAUGGAUCCGCGCCGCAUUAGCUAGUUGGUAAGGUAACGGCUUACCAAGGCAACGAUGCGUAGCCGACCUGAGAGGGUGAUCAGCCACACUGGAACUGAGCCACGGUCCAGACUCCUACGGGAGGCAGCAGUAGGGAAUCUUCCGCAAUGGGCGCAAGCCUGACGGAGCCACGCCGCGUGAGUGAUGAAGGUCUUCGGAUCGUAAAACUCUGUUAUUAGGGAAGAACAAAUGUGUAAGUAACUAUGCACGUCUUGACGGUACCUAAUCAGAAAGCCACGGCUAACUACGUG
rnacentral:rRNA from 1 species